AGUGGGAUAGCUGGGUGAUGGUGGUUUCAUUCCAAAUUUUAUGAGGAAUCUCCAUACUGCUUUCCAGAUUGGUUACACCAAUUUGAAGUCCCACCAGCAAU
rnacentral:pre_miRNA from 1 species